rnacentral:rRNA from 1 species
UACGUAGGGUGCAAGCGUUAAUCGGAAUUACUGGGCGUAAAGCGUGCGCAGGCGGUUAUGUAAGACAGUUGUGAAAUCCCCCGGCUCAACUGGGGAACUGCACAGGAAACUAGCGGGCUUGAGUUCGGGAGAGGGAAGCGGAAUUCCGGGUGUAGCGGUGAAAUGCGUAGAUAUCCGGAGGAACACCAAUGGCGAAGGCAGCUCGCUGGGACGUUACUGACGCUGAGACGCGAAAGCGUGGGGAGCAAACAGG